rnacentral:rRNA from 1 species
AUUGAACGCUGGCGGCAGGCCUAACACAUGCAAGUCGAACGAGUGGCGGACGGGUGAGUAAUGUAUGGGAAAAUUCCUGAUGGAGGGGGAUAACUACUGGAAACGGUAGCUAAUACCGCAUACAAUGGGAUGUGCCCAGAUGGGAUUAGCUAGUGGGUGGGGUAAAGGCUCACCUAGGCGACGAUCCCUAGCUGGUCUGAGAGGAUGAGCAGCCACACGGGAACUGAGACACGUGCCAGACUCCUACGGGAGGCAGCAGUGGGGAAUAUUGCACAAUGGUCGCAAGCCUGAUGCAGCCAUGCCGCGUGUAUGAAGAAGGCCUUCGUGUUUGAAAGUACUUUCAGCGGGGAGGCGUUACCCGCAGAAGAAGCACCGGCUAACUCCGUGCCAGCAGCCGCGGUAAUAC